CAUGGAGGAUCAGCUUCACACUAUCCAGGUGGUGGCCCACCUGAAUAUCAACAGCGUGACUAUCAGGGGCGGGGACAUCCAGGUGGUGGUCCACCUGAAUAUCAACAUCGUGACUAUCAGGGGCGUGGACAUCCGGGGGGUGGCCCACCUGAAUAUCAACCACGUGACUAUCAGGGGCGUGGACAUCCGGGGGGUGGCCCACCUGAAUAUCAACCACGUGACUAUCAGGGACGUGGUGGUCCGCGCCCCAGAGGUGGAGUGCCGCAGCCAUACUAUGGCGGGCAUAGGGGAG
rnacentral:lncRNA from 1 species